rnacentral:misc_RNA from 1 species
GUCUAAUACGACCAAGCUAAAUAUUGCUUGAUUCACUUCUACAAGAGGUGUGUAUCAGCUCUAGCUUUGGUGGGUCGCUCACCUUGAGUUCGCUCGGGUUGAGUGUCUGCCUCAGUCAGAUGCAAACUUGUUUUUACAGGGCUGAUGAAAGCCC